rnacentral:rRNA from 1 species
AUUGAACGCUGGCGGCAGGCCUAACACAUGCAAGUCGAGCGGAUGAAGGGAGCUUGCUCCUGGAUUCAGCGGCGGACGGGCGAGUAAUGCCUAGGAAUCUGCCUGGUCUUGGGGGAUAACGUCCGGAAACGGGCGCUAAUACCGCAUACGUCCUGAGGGAGAAAGGGGGGGAUCUUCAGACCUCACGCUAUCAGAUGAGCCUAGGUCGGAUUAGCUAGUUGGUGUGGUAAAGGCCUACCAAGGCGACGAUCCGUAACUGGUCUGAGAGGGUGAUCAGUCACACUGGAACUGAGACACGGUCCAGACUCCUACGGGAGGCAGCAGUGGGGAAUAUUCGGCAAUGGGCGAAAGCCUGAUCCAGCCAUGCCGCGUGUGUGAAGAAGGUCUUCGGAUUGUAAAGCUCUUUAAGUUGGGAGGAACGACAGUAAAUUAAUCCCUUGCUGUUUUGACGUUACCAACAGAAUAAGCACCGGCUAACUUCGUG